rnacentral:rRNA from 1 species
GUAAACCUGAGAAACCCAAAAGAUCGAAUGAGGAGAUUCAUCGUCAGCGUGUCGGCUCGCUUGUCGUGCGCGAUGGCGUUACGUUUCGGCGUGGCGUUCACGCGUUGGCAUGUCGUGUCCGAUUAUCGUUAAUGUGCACUUCUCCUCUAGUAGAACGUCGCGACCCGUUGGGUGUCGGCCUACGGUACGGCAAGUUGUAGCCUGUAGCGUCGCGUUCACGCGCGUGCACUGCAGACCGUCGUUAUACCCGGCCGGCUGCCCGGCGGUAUAAGUCAUCGAACCGAUUGACAAUGGUAACGGGCCGCACGAUAUCGAUUAGUGCAUAGCUAAUCGUGUUAAGUGCGUCAGGCUCAUCGGCAGGUCUCCCGUGCACGGAUUUACGAACCUAGUGUCGUAUUCGGAUCGGGUGACCGUUAGUCGAAGAUGUCCUCGGACGGGCUCUCGCGCGUCUUCCAUUGUUUUAUGCGAAGGCGCUUUACCGGUCGGCGACGCUACUGCUUUGGGUACUUUCAGGACCCGUCUUGAAACACGGACCAAGGAGUCUAACAUGUGCGCGAGUCAUUGGGUUAUUGUUAAAUGUGAAUAAGCCUAAAGGCGCAAUGAAAGUGAAAGUCGUCCUAAGCGUCGAUGGAGGGAGGAUGGCCCGGGUUCGCUCGGGUCCGCACUCCCGGGGCGUCUCACGGUCGUUACGACCAGAGGCGCACCCAGAGCGUACACGUUGGGACCCGAAAGAUGGUGAACUAUGCCUGGUCAGGACGAAGUCAGGGGAAACCCUGAUGGAGGUCCGUAGCGAUUCUGACGUGCAAAUCGAUCGUCGGAACUGGGUAUAGGGGCGAAAGACUAAUCGAACCAUCUAGUAGCUGGUUCCCUCCGAAG